GGGAUCCUGCUUCCAAUGCCUCUAGUUUCAAAGGAAGGUUUAAAACUUCAUCCUGCACCUAUUGUCUUUGUUUUAUCCUGUUCUGGGGAGUGGGGAGGCGUGUUUUUUCCUAACCCCAGCUGGUGAUCAGCUUAUCCCCUUGAAGCGUGACAGCUGAUAUGCCCUUUUAAUUUUUACCUAGCUAACGUAACAUCAGAUGCUAUUCUUAUUCAGACAAAUGUCUAAUCCAUCUUUGUGUUCUCUGAGCUGGCUCUGCACAAAGGAUAUCUGAGCUGAAGAGAAACUGAGAACAAGCCAGACAGUGUCCCGAUGCUGUGUGACUGAUGUUACGGGGGAUGCACAGUGGUAAUUACAGGCUUUUCCUGCUGCAGUUUCCUGUUCCUUUGGCUGGAUCCAGGUGGCGGGAAGGGCCCCAAAUGCUUCAGCAAGGUCUCUGUGAUGCAGCACUGAUGGGUACCUCCCUAGCAGCCUUGAGGGCCUGAGCACAUGGAGCGCUAUGGGCCGGCUUUAUUAACUGCAGUGCCCGAUUCAAAUACUCCGCGGUGAUCUGGGGCUUUGGCGACACUUCAGUGGCACGGGGUCCACUCCAGGUCUUCCAUGGCAC